UGCUGCUCCUUGUUCCAGUCCCAUGACAAGCAGCAGCAGUAGCAUCAUGGUUGGGUUGGAGCUACAGUGGCCAGCCACCGGGACGACACUGAUAGCCAAAGAAAGCUCCUUCCCCACCGCUGACAGCCAAAACCACUCUUGUGCUCAUCAAGGUCCCUUUCACCUCUCUAACCUCUGUGUUAAGUCUGUCUGGUUCUAGGCCGAUUCAGGUUUUUUGUUUUGUUUUUGCUUCCACUCUGUUUGAUUUAAGCGUGGUGGUCAGAUCCUCUUCAGAUGUCCAGUUGAGACACCUACCCAUUUCUUCUCUUUUUAUCUCUUGAGAGGAGAGGAUAGGAUGCUAACUAGCGAAGUACUAUACUACUACUACAUUUCAAACCAUAAUAAGGUCCUUCGGUAAAAACAAAACAAGAUUUGCAGCGUCACAGUAGCAAAAUUCCAGCAUCCACUAGCCACACAAAAAAGUAUGUAUCCAGUGAUAAUAUAACGAGAGAGGAAUUCAAGGAUUAGUUUAUUAUUAACCUAUGUAGUGUAUGCACUGGUAGUUGAUGGAGUUUCAAGCAGCAAGCAUGGAGCACCUUCUUCUUUCUAUCAUGUCACUUACCUGAUAAUUUUGGUAAUUCUCUCCGUAAUGUCAUUCAUAUACCUGAUAAAGCCAAUUUCUUUGGGGCUCUCUGUCAUUCAUAUGUUCAGUGAUGCAAUCUGAAUUAUUAUGUAGAGGUUACUCCAGUCCUCACUAUUCUUCUAUUUGUCCCUGUUUAGUGUUUUACUUUUUUUUAUCAGCAGCACAAUAGAUAACCAUAUCUACAUUUGUCUCUAUUUUCUGUCAGGUUAGGCAACAGGAUGGCAGUCACAGGAGCCAUUGCAUUUUCUUUGUCGCAAUGGCAUUAGGUACAAAGGGUCUCGCCACCGCGCGCAGUCCACCUCUCCCCGCAGGCAUGCCGGCCACCUCCCCACCUGACGCACAUCUUUCCCAUGGGGCCAUGGAACACGGUGAGCAGCAGUGGUACGAACCACAAAAUACUACUAUGAGAUUAGUUAAAUUCAGUGUUCUGUUGUAACUUUAAAAUUGAAAACCAAGUUUCCCUGGACAAAUAUAGUUUUUUGUGAGCUUAUUAUUGACAAUUUAUAGUAAUAUGCUAUUAUGGGCUUUGCUCCACCAUGAUAAGGAGGAAAGAACUGCAGGCUAUAUCGGAGAUGGUUUGGCAUACUGGCGGUUUCGCUGAACUCGAGAAAGUAGCUUCACAACACAAUGUGUAGUUCAGUGUAGUUCACAACACAAAGCUAGCUCAACCACACAGGCAGAUUGAUUGAUCCCUAAUUCCUCUCCGUGGCCAUUCUUUUAUCGGUCUUUCUGAUAUCUAGAGUACUUUCAUUUAAGACCAGAACAUCAACUUGUUUUUUGUUCUUAAUUUUGUUGGCAUAAUGGUUUUAGUAGUUGUGAAGGGGAGCCUUGGCGCAGUGGUAAAGCUGCUGCCUUGUGACCAUGA